UCACUCCACUGCCGGUGCAAUGCUCUGGGCAGCAGGGCUGUGAGCUCCUGGGGCAGCACAGCUGCAGAGGCCGGCCUGAUCUGGUGCUCUGAGCUGCGUGGUGGCGGUGGCAGGGUUCUUAUAUGUCACUCAUCACAGCCUCAUGGUCUCAGACACCAUCCGAUGGUCCAGAGACAUCUACACCGAACACAUCACCAGACACAAGCAGUACCAGGAGGAGUGAGCCGGAGCGACUUCAUGCAUCAACUAUGAGAAAGGGACUGAGAGACUUUUUUCCAUUGGACCAUAUGAACUGGAACCAUAAACUCACUGAACAUUAAAUCUCACCAAAUGAGGGUCAAUCCAUCCUCAUCAUCGUAUCCACUCAUUAUACUCCACACUUGAACAUAGCCAUCAUAUGAACAACAUACCCUCCUAGCUCAAUGUCUGUACUUUGACCCGUUAACCUUUUACCCCCAAUCAGGGAUAUUGAGAUUAUGUAUUCCUUACACCAUCCGAUUUUAAACUAGACUUCACACCUGCUGAUAAUCUGUACGUUAUUCCCUGAUAACCAGAAACUUCUAUGCUUAAACUCUGUACCGUUAACUUUUUUUUAAAACAUCAUCUGAGUCACUUCUAGUAGUGCAAUGUGACUUCAUAUCUGUCAUGUGGGGUUUGUUCUCUAAUCCUCGCCCCAGGGAAAGAAGCAUGUGAAGUGGAAUGUCUUGACAGUGUUUGUUUCUUUAAAUCCAUUGCUGUGUAUUUAUGUUAGAGAAAUGCACUUGCAGUUGGAGCAGAAGACAGUAAAGCUUGAGAUGGUCCUUAAUUCCUUGGGGAAUUAAUUCUACAGUCUCGGUCGGACCAGCCCCCCAAGAACGUUCUGUCUCCAGAACAGAGGAGCUUUAGUCUUACUGUGGAGACAUCCAUCUGACCAGAAGAGUGGAGUUGUCAACAGUCUUCAGUGCUGCUAACGAUUGACAUGCCCAGGUGGAGAGAAAGCUCAAUGGGGGAUGGGGAAUCUGCAGACUGGGUUUCUGGUGCCUUCCUGAUUGACAAAGAAUUAUUGAUUCAGCAGCAGAGCUCUCUGCCAGUUCUCUCCUCCCCCUCCCCCACUGCAUCCUGUUUCCUCUCAACGGCUGUUUGUCUUGCCAGGUUACUCAGUUUAAUUGUGUUUAUAAUCAAGGCAGCUCCAUCUCCCCUGCUAUUAAAUAAUUCAUGAGCAUAAAAGAUGAGGUCUUUCUGAUCAUUCUAGUGGUCUGCUUAGAACAAUGUCUUUUUUUAGGGGCUAUAGAAUAUUUCCACCAGCUUUUCAACAGAGUACAAUUUUGACAGCAUUAUUAAUUCUAAUUAGUUUUUUUUUGCUUCCUACAAAUCAGGUUUCAGGAAGGGUUGUUGUUUGUCUUUUUCUGAUCUUCCCAUCUAUAACAUAAAGAUUGUUGUGACAAAAAGAGUGGGCUCUGAGCUCAUUGUGCUGUAAAUAAAGGAUCCUUUGUUUGCUAAGCACAGUUUAA